rnacentral:rRNA from 1 species
AUCGGAUGUGCCCAGAUGGGAUUAGCUAGUAGGUGGGGUAACGGCUCACCUAGGCGACGAUCCCUAGCUGGUCUGAGAGGAUGACCAGCCACACUGGAACUGAGACACGGUCCAGACUCCUACGGGAGGCAGCAGUGGGGAAUAUUGCACAAUGGGCGCAAGCCUGAUGCAGCCAUGCCGCGUGUAUGAAGAAGGCCUUCGGGUUGUAAAGUACUUUCAGCGAGGAGGAAGGUGUUGUGGUUAAUAACC